AGUGAACGCUGGCGGUAGGCCUAACACAUGCAAGUCGAACGGCAGCACAGAGGAGCUUGCUCCUUGGGUGGCGAGUAGCGGACGGGUGAGGAAUACAUCGGAAUCUACUCUGUCGUGGGGGAUAACGUAGGGAAACUUACGCUAAUACCGCAUACGACCUACGGGUGAAAGCAGGGGAUCUUCGGACCUUGCGCGAUUGAAUGAGCCGAUGUCGGAUUAGCUAGUUGGCGGGGUAAAGGCCCACCAAGGCGACGAUCCGUAGCUGGUCUGAGAGGAUGAUCAGCCACACUGGAACUGAGACACGGUCCAGACUCCUACGGGAGGCAGCAGUGGGGAAUAUUGGACAAUGGGCGCAAGCCUGAUCCAGCCAUACCGCGUGGGUGAAGAAGGCCUUCGGGUUGUAAAGCCCUUUUGUUGGGAAAGAAAUCCAUCUGGUUAAUACCCGGGUGGGGUGACGGUACCCAAAGAAUAAGCACCGGCUAACUUCGUGCCAGCCGCCGCGGUAA
rnacentral:rRNA from 1 species